GACGUAGGGUCCGAGCGUUGUCCGGAGUUACUGGGCGUAAAGGGCGCGUAGGCGGUUUCUUGCGUCCCACGUGAAAGCCCCUGGCUCAACCAGGGAGGGUCGUGGGAAACGGGGGAACUGGAGCACUGUAGAGGCAGGCGGAAUUCCGGGUGUAGCGGUGGAAUGCGUAGAGAUCCGGAAGAACACCGGUGGCGAAGGCGGCCUGCUGGGCAGUUGCUGACACUGAGGCGCGACAGCGUGGGGAGCAAACAGG
rnacentral:rRNA from 1 species